UGUGGUUUUAGUAUUUUCAUGGUGCUGGUAACAUGGUAGCAUGGUUCUAGAGCAUCAAAUGGUGUUCUGUGAUGCCUGAAAUUGUGAUAGAUUUGAUGAAACAUUGUGAUGCUAAGGCUGAUCUGAAACUGAGUAUAUAUCCAGUUUGUCAUUGUUAUGAGGAAAACUGGCAUCUGUGAUCAAUUAAAGUUUCGUCUUCCUCCAUUGAUGGCCAAAAGGACAGUUACUAUCUUGUCAAUCUGGGAGGAUGAUAGAUUAUUUGAUCUUUUCUCUUCUUCAUCAUUGUUUGAGAUGGUGUGUCCAGCAGAUGGCUUAGGUUUAUGGAUGAGAUUGGCGUUGUUACUGUGACUCAAACAUGGAAAUGGGGAUUUCAAAGAGAGCUUAGUAUAUCUCAGUGACUUGGUAUCU